GUGGCUUGAUAUAUGAUGAAAUAUUAAAAAGUCUAUUGAAGACUCUAUAUGGCAAUUGUUUGAAAGGCUAGGGCUGCUAUACUCUUAUGAGUAUAACCUUUUUUGUACUCAUAAGUUUCCGAUCAUUAGAUGAAGAGAUAUACGGUUAGAAUGAUAGUUGUCUCCGACUAAAUUAAUAGUGGUCCUCUAAGGUUGAGUGUGUGGUUGGUUGAACAAUAUGAUAUAAUAAAUAGAAAUAAUCAAAGGAGUAGAUCUAACAGUCAAAAACUUAUGAAUACAAAGAAGACUAUAUUCAUAAGAGUAUAGUAGCUGAACUCCUGUUUGAAGUUUAAUCUGAUAGUGUUAUUU
rnacentral:lncRNA from 1 species